AUAUUGGACAAUGGGGGCAACCCUGAUCCAGCCAUGCCGCGUGUGUGAAGAAGGUCUUNGGAUUGNANAGCACUUUAAGUUGGGANGAAGGGCUUUAGGCUAAUACCCUGAAGUUUUGACGUUACCAACAGAAUAAGCACCGUACAACUCUGUGCCAGCAGGCGGUGUAAUACAGAGGGUGCAAGCGUUAAUCGGAAUUAAUGGGCGUAAAGCGCGCGUAGGUGGUUCAGUAAGAUGGGUGUGAAAACACCGGGGUUAACCUGGGAACUGCUUUCAUAACUGCUGAGCUAGAGUACGGUAGAGGGUAGUGGAAUUUCCUGUGUAGCGGUGAAAUGCGUAGGUAUAGGAAGGAACACCAGUGGCGAAGGCGACUACCUGGACUGAUACUGACAGUGAGGUGCGAAAGCGUGGGGAGCAAACA
rnacentral:rRNA from 1 species